UAGGGAAUCUUCGGCAAUGGACGAAAGUCUGACCGAGCAACGCCGCGUGAGUGAAGAAGGUUUUCGGAUCGUAAAACUCUGUUGUUAGAGAAGAACAAGGACGUUAGUAACUGAACGUCCCCUGACGGUAUCUAACCAGAAAGCCACGGCUAACUACGUCCCAGCAGCCGCGGUAAUACGUAGGUGGCAAGCGUUGUCCGGAUUUAUUGGGCGUAAAGCGAGCGCAGGCGGUUUCUUAAGUCUGAUGUGAAAGCCCCCGGCUCAACCGGGGAGGGUCAUUGGAAACUGGGAGACUUGAGUGCAGAAGAGGAGAGUGGAAUUCCAUGUGUAGCGGUGAAAUGCGUAGAUAUAUGGAGGAACACCAGUGGCGAAGGCGGCUCUCUGGUCUGUAACUGACGCUGAGGCUCGAAAGCGUGGGGAGCAAACAGG
rnacentral:rRNA from 1 species